UUUGCUUUAUGUUGAUUUGACACAAAUUCAACGGGAAAAAAAUCUUUAAAGAAUAGGAAGAUUUUCGUUGUCAAGAAACAAUACAAUUCCUUUUGUGUUUUAUUUUGCGUAGAAAAACUGUUAUAAAAAGGUGUGUCAAUGGUAUAUAAACAAACUCCAUAUGUUCCAUACACCCGUGUUUCCCUAAUCGACCAAACACCAAAACACAAGGUAAAUAAAAUACAGCAAAGUUUUGAAAUAACUGAUUUUUUUUCCUAUGUUUUAAGAUUUUAAGGGGGGUUAUGAUUUUCUCUAUAUCACGUAUGUCUAAUGAGUUCAUUAAUUUUCCAUUAUAUAUCUUAAACUAAAUCUACCACAAUUUACUUUACAAAUUUUGUUUCGUGUUUUUAUCAUUCGGAAAUUUGUGCGCACGAACAUUAUAUGUUAUGAUAAUCAUAUAUUUCAGGUGAACAAUUAAAUUCCUAAAAUUUAGCCCUGUUAUCUAUGAUGAGUUUAUUUGCAGAAUGAAAAUAUUGAAGAUUCUGUGUGCGAUAUUCAUGAUGCUAAUGGCAGUUUUAGCAGGAAAAGUCAGUGGAAAGCCACCAGUUGGAAGGCUCGAAUUUGACAAAAUACGACCACCAAUUGGAGGGCUUCGUUUUAACAGAGUUAAAAGAGAUACUAAUAACCAACAUUUGGAUAGAACCUUGGGAUUACUGGUAAUUACAAAUCUUAAGAAUUGCUUAUUCAGAACAUAAAGUUUAAUAAUAAUAAUAAUAAUAAUAAUAAUAAUAAUAAUAAUAAUAAUAAUAAUAAUAAUAAUAAUAAUAAUAAUAAUAAUAAAUAAUAUUAAUAAUAAUACUAAUAAUAAUGAUAAGAAGAAGAAGAAGAAGAAUCUGAGGAUAAUGUACAGAGAUGUAUUGUUUUCUAAGACAAGUUCGUGUGUGGAGGAUAAAUAAAUGACAGGAAAUCCAACCUCACCGUAAUAACUAUUUUAUUGUAGUGAUACAAAUCAGUAUACACUGGUUUGUGGUUAUAUUUUAUAUUAAUGUAACAGUAACAUGUAUAUAUAAUUUUCAUGCAUUUGUAAAUCAUUCUAUUCUACUAUUCUAAUAAUAGUGCAGUACAAGUACAUUCUUCUGUAAAAUUCGUUUUUUCUAAAAGAUUGGAUAUGAGUAGGCAUUCAUAUUUUCCCGCAAAAACAAUUACAGAGUUACCGUUCCUUGCCAGGAUUGUCGUGCAACAUUCUUGAGAUAUUCUUCCGCAAGCUUUAACACACUUUUUCGGUACGUGUGCGUAGAUAUUAUCAAUGACUUUUUACUUAUAAAUAUAGAUUAUUACAUUGAUACAAGUGGAUUAUCGAACUUAUCCAAUCGAGAUAGUUAAAUUAUCAAUUUUAAAGUCCGAGCCUCGGCGAGGACUUUAAAAUUGAUAAUUUAACUAUUUUGUUCUGAACAAAAAUAUUUUUAUCAGUAUUCAUUGAAGAGAUGUAUGUAUAACAAACAAAAUGGAAUUUUAGUUUGCACUAGUUAAUAUCCGCGUAUUUAUCAUGUUUAUAGAUCGGUUAAAACCGAGUGACGUGUGCAAAUCUAGGCUAUAGCAAUACAUCAGAAUGCCCUCACGGUCAUCUUGAUGUAAAAAUAAAUAUAAUUGUAUUUUUCAGGUAAAAAGAGAUUAGAUGAUCUGUGGCACCACAAACUGGAUAUUUCAUCAUUGAAACUGAACUAAAUAGAUUUUGAUUUUGUAAUUGGUCUCUGUAUUAGUGUUUAUUUCAUAUUUUUAAAUGAUUCUAUUUUUGUCUUUACAAUCUACUGGCCAUAUUAUUCUUGAAAAAUAUGAUUGUAAUUAAAUUGGGAAAAGUUACAAAGAGACAAAAUUCCGACCUAAGAGAAGAAAACAGCACAAGGUCAUCAAUAGGUCUUCAACACAGCGAGAAAAUCCCGAACCCGGAGGCUGGCUUCGGCUGACUCCUAAACAAAAAUGUGUACUAGUUCUGUGAAAUAUGGGCGUUUCACUAAAAUCCGACACAUAUAAAUAAACUAAAAUAGAAAAAAAUAAAACUUAAGACUUAAGAAAGGUCAGCGACUACUGACUUGGGACAGGCGAAACAAUACGACGUAGUUUGAUUUUUUUUUUAAGAGAGCCGUGGUGUAGUGGUUAGUGCAUCGGACUACUAACACAAAGGUUCCUGGUUCGAUCACCUCUCCGGGGAGAAAAUUUCAUGGACCAAGUUUUCGAUUCUCCCUUGACACAAUUUGCGAGUAUGGUCUUGAGAAACAUGAAAGUCCGUCGGAAAGGGACGAUAGAUGGCCGACUUGUAGAUUUCGAAAAAGAGCAGGCUAAUACCUCUGCACGGCAGCACUCGCACCCGCAAAGUUGAAAGGGAUUAAUAUAAGUUGCAAUGACUUGAUUGCCUAUCCAUUAUAAAUAAAUAUAUUUCUAGUUUUCGGACAAUAUCUCAAAAAGGCUUUCAGCAGUUCUCAUGAAACUUUGGUGACUUGUUUAUAUCUAUUGAUGUAAGCUCCUUUCUGAAUUUUAUAAAUUUCGAAUAUGACAUUGAGAGGGUAUUGUAUUUUAUUCUUCGAAAAUGGAAAGGCGUAUCAUGCACUCAUGGCGCAACUGUUUAUUUGUUUUGUUUUGACUUUGAUUCAUAUUUUUAUCUUGGGAAUCCAAUAAUACGGAAUCCCAAAAUGGCUUCAGACCAGCAGGUCACCUUAAAACAACUAUACAGCUCUGUAUGGCAUACAAACACGAGCAAAUUCAAAACCGCAUACCAAGUUAUAUAUAAUAUAUAUAAACUUCGCAUGUCAGUUAACUGCUAAGAGUCUGAUGUUAUUUAUGUAUUAUUGUCAUUUUGUUUAUUAUCUUUGGUUACAUCUUCUGACAUCAGACUCGGACUUCUCUUGAACUGAAUUUUAAUGUGCGUAUUGUUAUGCGUUUACUUUUCUGCAUUGGCUAGAGGUAUAGGGGGAGGGUUGAGAUCUCAUAAACAUGUUUAACCCCGCCGCAUUUUUGCGCCUGUCCCAAGUCAGGAGCCUCUGGCCUUUGUUAGUCUUGUAUUAUUUUAAUUUUAGUUUCUUGUGUACAAUUUGGAGUUUAGUAUGGCGUUCAUUAUCACUGAACGAGUAUAUAUGUUUGUUUAGGGGCCAGCUGAAAGACGUCUUCGGGUGGUGCUGGAAUUUCUCGCUGCAUUGAAGACCUGUUGGUGAUCUUCUGCUGUUGUCUUCUCUAUGGUCGGGUUGUUGUCUCUUUGACACGUUCCCCAUUUCCAUUCUCAAUUUUAUUCGAUAUCUAUUCUGUAAAUAAAGUGCAUUGAUAUCUCGCCUGUAGAUAAGUGUGGUAUCUUUUAAGAUGUGGUUGUUAGACAUAUUUGAUGUGUUUCCCUCAGUUUUAGUUUGCAAUCCGAUUUUUUUUCUCUCAAUCGAUUCAUGAAUUUUUGAACAGCGGUAUACUACUGUUGCCUUUAUUUAGACAUCUUUGUUCUUUUUUUUUUUGUUUUUCCUAUAGUCAUAUUGUCAAUCAUAACACCGGGCAUCUCAAUGUACUUAUAAAGAGGCGCGUCUCCGUACACGAUGUUUAUGGGAAGGUUUGUCCGACCGGAAGUGGUUGUGUAUAUGGUUUAAAUGUAUGUUAAAUUUUAAGAUGGAGUUUGAUUGGCAAUAAGACAACUAUCCACCAGGUACCAAAUAGCAAAGAUAUCUCGUAUGUUAUACUAUUAAAUCUUUUCUAUAAUAUGUUUUGCUUUCCCGCACCUAUCUUGAUUUGAUAUCUCUUUAUAGGUGUAAUGCUUUCACAUUUCUUCUGUAGAUGUAAUGCUUUAACUCUCCUGUUAAGCUAAGAUAAGAUACGAACAUUCUAUUUUGAUUCGGCAUUUGUAAAACUAAACAACACUAGCUCUACAGAGCUUUUGACCGAACAUAAAACAUAGCCACACAAAAAAUAAUAUCAACAAGCAUAACAUACACAAAGUUUGACAUUUAUAUGAGGCUCCCACAGGGUACCCCCUCAGGUCGCAAGGUCGCUUUUAAAUUCGCCGAGAGGUCGUUUUUAAGGGAAAUGUACAGGUCGCAGGUCGUUUUUUCCCAACACAGAGGACGGAAGUCGGACGGAGGUCGUUUUUUUCAAAUUUUACAGGUCGC
rnacentral:lncRNA from 1 species